CCAAUAGCGUAUAUUAAAGUUGUUGCAGUUAAAAAGCUCGUAGUUGAAUUUCGGGAUUAAUUUAUUGGUCGUGCUAUUGUACGUACUGGUUUUAUUGAUUCCUCCCUUCUGACGAACUAUGAUGCCAUUAAUUUGGUGUCUUAGGGAAUCAGGACUGUUACUUUGAAAAAAUUAGAGUGUUUAAAGCAGGCUCACGCUUGAAUACAUUAGCAUGGAAUAACGGAAUAGGACGUUUGAUUCUAUUUUGUUGGUUUCUAGGAUCGACGUAAUGAUUAAUAGGGAUAGUUGGGGGCAUUAGUAUUCAAUUGUCAGAGGUGAAAUUCUUGGAUUUAUUGAAGACUAACUACUGCGAAAGCAUUUGCCAAGGAUGUUUUCAUUAAUCAAGAACGAAAGUUAGGGGAUCGAAGACGAUCAGAUACCGUCGUAGUCUUAACCAUAAACUAUGCCGACUAGGGAUCGGAUGAUGUUAAUUUUUUAAUGACUCAUUCGGCGCCUUACG
rnacentral:rRNA from 1 species